GGAGACUAGUGUUUACCCAGGAGAACCUGCGCCUCUUAAAGAGAUCAGGGCUAUAACAGAAAAUCAUCCUUAUUUUUUUAUGGGUGCAUCACCUGAUUCAGGUCAACUGAUAGCCAUGCUGUUGGAUAUGUUAAAUGCCAAAAACACAAUUGAACUCGGAGUCUUCACCGGUUAUUCUCUGCUUCUCACUGCUUUUACAAUUCCUGAUGAUGGCAAGAUCCUAG
rnacentral:misc_RNA from 1 species